rnacentral:rRNA from 1 species
UACGGAGGGUGCAAGCGUUAUCCGGAUUCACUGGGUUUAAAGGGUGCGUAGGCGGGUUUUUAAGUCAGCGGUGAAAGCUCCGAGCUCAACUCGGAAAUUGCCGUUGAUACUAUUAAUCUUGAAUUUAGUUGAGGUGGGCGGAAUGUGUAGUGUAGCGGUGAAAUGCUUAGAUAUUACACAGAACACCUAUUGCGAAGGCAGCUCGCUAAACUAAUAUUGACGCUGAGGCACGAAAGCGUUGGGAUCAAACAGG